rnacentral:rRNA from 1 species
GACGAACGCUGGCGGCGUGCCUAAUACAUGCAAGUCGAGCGAGCUUGCCUAGAUGAAUUUGGUGCUUGCACCAAAUGAAACUAGAUACAAGCGAGCGGCGGACGGGUGAGUAACACGUGGGUAACCUGCCCAAGAGACUGGGAUAACACCUGGAAACAGAUGCUAAUACCGGAUAACAACACUAGACGCAUGUCUAGAGUUUAAAAGAUGGUUCUGCUAUCACUCUUGGAUGGACCUGCGGUGCAUUAGCUAGUUGGUAAGGUAACGGCUUACCAAGGCAAUGAUGCAUAGCCGAGUUGAGAGACUGAUCGGCCACAUUGGGACUGAGACACGGCCCAAACUCCUACGGGAGGCAGCAGUAGGGAAUCUUCCACAAUGGACGCAAGUCUGAUGGAGCAACGCCGCGUGAGUGAAGAAGGGUUUCGGCUCGUAAAGCUCUGUUGGUAGUGAAGAAAGAUAGAGGUAGUAACUGGCCUUUAUUUGACGGUAAUUACUUAGAAAGUCACGGCUAACUACGUGCCAGCAGCCGCGGUAAUACGUAGGUGGCAAGCGUUGUCCGGAUUUAUUGGGCGUAAAGCGAGUGCAGGCGGUUCAAUAAGUCUGAUGUGAAAGCCUUCGGCUCAACCGGAGAAUUGCAUCAGAAACUGUUGAACUUGAGUGCAGAAGAGGAGAGUGGAACUCCAUGUGUAGCGGUGGAAUGCGUAGAUAUAUGGAAGAACACCAGUGGCGAAGGCGGCUCUCUGGUCUGCAACUGACGCUGAGGCUCGAAAGCAUGGGUAGCGAAACAGG